ACUUCAUCUGCCCACUUGUUUAACCUUUCUUCAGGAUCAUACACUAUCUCUAGCUGUUUCUUGGAGGCUUUGACAAAUGAAGUCCUUUGCUUUUGAUAAAAAGAGACAGACCCACUAGGCCUAAACGAAGGUAGAUUGCUUUUGGAGAAUGAAUUGGAGGAAUAAUGGAAGACGUGGUUGUUGCAGAGCAAAUGAGCGGAAGCCAUGGCUGCUAGCUCUGCAGUUGCAAAUGCA
rnacentral:misc_RNA from 1 species